UACGAAGGGGGCUAGCGUUGCUCGGAAUCACUGGGCGUAAAGGGCGCGUAGGCGGCCAUUCAAGUCAGAGGUGAAAAGCCCAAGGCUCAACCUUGGAACGUGCCUUUGAUACUGUUUGGCUUGAGACCGGUAGAGGUAAGUGGAACUGCGAGUGUAGAGGUGAAAUUCGUAGAUAUUCGCAAGAACACCAGUGGCGAAGGCGGCUUACUGGACCGGUUCUGACGCUGAGGCGCGAAAGCGUGGGGAGCAAACAGG
rnacentral:rRNA from 1 species